CCGCCGCAGUCAUCGUCAUCCUCCGUCCGCCAUUCGCAUCGGAUCCCCUUCGCUUCGCUGCUCCUCCUCCGUCCGCCAUUGCUUCUUCUCACAUCGAUUUCCCAAGCCCCUCCUGCCCCACCGCAUCGAGAGAGAGAGAUAGAGAGAGAGCGGGGUAGGGAUGAAGGCCAGCGACCGGAGAGGAGGAGGAAGACGCGCGCAUCGGCGGCGACGGUGCACGCCUCCAGCGGGGGCCAUUAUUCUAUGGAACUUAAGAGAUACAACUAGGAGAUCCUGGUACAUUCUGCUAUCUUAAUCAGUACAAUGGCUACAAGAUUGAAUUGAAGGAGUAUCUUAAAGUAUAAAGGCCCAUGGCUAUUAUGACAACCAGUUCUGAAGAGUAGGAGGCAUUUUUCUGGUUGUUGCUGCCAUUCUCCACUCGGGAAAUGUUGAGUUUGCAGAAUGGGGCGAUGGAGGUUCUUUGAAACCUAAAAAUGAAAAAUCAAUGUUUCAUUUAAGGGCAGCUGCUGAGCUCCUCAUGUGCGAUGGGAUCAUGAGAAAACACUUGAAGAUUCUUUGUGUAAACGUGUUAUUGUGACUCAUAAAUUAUAAAAACUCUGGAUCAUUUAUCUGCCAAGGUCCGAAAUAGACCGUCCUGCCCUUGGCCAGGAGGCAGAGGCCAUGGAAGAGCUCGAACACCUCCGUGCUCGGCUGAUGCACGGCGGCGACGACCGUCAUCCUGUUCCGUUCGGCGAUCCUGGCAAUGCGGCUCAUGA